ACCCUGCCUUAAAUACUAAGGAUGGGCAUUUGAUUACAUUUUCUUAGUCGAUUGUUGGGAGAAUUAACGAUCGACUAUCGAUUAAUGAUAUUUUUUUAUAUUAAUUUAUUUUACUUUUUAUAAAUUAACAAUGCAAUGAAAAU